AUAAACAACCAAUAACAUUGUGAGGAUAACAGCUAUGCAGCGUAAUUAAUUAAUUCCAGAAGAAAGCCAUUUAUUUAGUUUAUAACUUAUACUUUAAAUUCUGAUAUACAUAAACAGUAUAAACUAUAUAACGUGUAAAUCAAUUCUAAAAACCCUUUUUAGAUGCCUUCUAUGUAUUCAAAUUCACACAACAGUCGCCCGUGACAGACAGCUUCGGUGUGGCUCCGCCCCCUCCCUCCCCCGUCACACCCCCGGCGUUCCCCUUGACAACGCGACGUAGCGUUCCAAAAUAGAACGGCCAUUUACGUCACCAGCCUCGGAGAGGGAGCGAGUGUGCGGUCGAGCUGCAGGAAAUGGGCGGAGCUUCUCCGGUGACGUCGCGGGAUUGCGGCUGUGUGUGUGUGUGUGUGUCACCCCGGCUACACGACGAAGCUCCACGCACGUUUUCUCAGCCGUGGGCUUUCUAAACAGGUCAGAUACGCUCCAGGAUCCGUCAGUGAGAACAGUUAAACCGCCAAAAGAUCCCCUCUGACAGCAAGAGAAAGAUUCCCAUGGCUCAGCGUCUCAACUUGUCAAAGUGAAAAGCGUUUUCUUUUGACUUGCAAGUUUUUCUCGUUUUUCCAGCCAUCUUUGAGUAAAUGCGUACCCACAGCCUGUAGAGCAGCAGUGAGUUCAAAAGGACUCAUGGUCC